rnacentral:snRNA from 1 species
CAAAGACCUGGAGGAUCCCAAAACCUCAUCGAUCGCCAGCGUUGAUUUGGCUGAUCUGGCUGGCUAUGUGGGGGUCCCCUUCCUCCCUCACCGCUCCAUGUCUGCCCCUCCCGAAGCUGCACAGUCAGUAUAAGAGGAUGACCACCCCAUAGAGAAGGACCAUUUCCUCGGUCAAGGGUGUAGGGCAUAUGAGUAGCUUCACUCCCCUGUUAGAGCCUCCAAACAAGUUCUCAAAAAACCCAGGUCUUCAGAACUCAGUUGCCUUUGAUCAAGCAAUGAUAUAUUUUCAGAACCAAGAACCAUUCUUUUUUUUUUU